rnacentral:rRNA from 1 species
UACGUAGGGGGCGAGCGUUGUCCGGAUUUAUUGGGCGUAAAGAGCGUGUAGGCGGCCAUGUAGGUCCGUUGUGAAAACUCGAGGCUCAACCUCGAGACGCCGAUGGAAACCAUGUGGCUAGAGUCCGGAAGAGGAGAGUGGAAUUCCUGGUGUAGCGGUGAAAUGCGCAGAUAUCAGGAGGAACACCCGUGGCGAAAGCGGCUCUCUGGGACGGUACUGACGCUGAGACACGAAAGCGUGGGGAGCAAACAGG